AAACAUGAAGCUGAGAGGAUCAACAAUGUAAAUAUACUUGUUUGCACACCGGGUCGGCUUCUUCAACACAUGGAUGAAACGAUAUGUUUUCAUGCUACUAAUCUCCAAAUGUAGUUCUUGAUGAAGCAGAUAGAAUCUUGGAUAUGGGCUUUGCUGAUACCAUGAAUGCUAUUAUUGAAAAUCCUCCCAAGAGACAUCAGACUUUACUUUUCUCAGCAACACAAACCAAAUCUGUAAAGGACCUUGCACGCUUGAGUUUGAAAAACGCUGAGUAUGUCUGGGUUCAUGAGAAAGCAAAAUAUAGUUAAUACGUCAUGACAAGUUAUAAUCAAGAAUAUCUUAAGGCAUUAUAGAAUAUCUACUCUCACAUUAUGAAGGAACUGGAAAUUAAAUUUUAAAAAUUCACAUCUUCUUGAAGUUGUAUGUCACACUAUACUUAGAAAAAGUCACCCCUGCCACUUUGGAACAGAAUUACAUAGUUUGUGAGCUGCAGCAAAAAAUAAGUGUGCUAUAUUCCUUCUUGAGAAGCCAUCUGAAAAAGAAGAGUAUUGUAUUUUUCUCCAGUUGCAA